GCACUGCUGACGAGUCCCAAACAGGACGAAACAGCUCUGUUCAGUGC
rnacentral:hammerhead_ribozyme from 1 species